rnacentral:rRNA from 1 species
CAGUAGCCGCGGUAAUACGGAGGGAGCUAGCGUUGUUCGGAAUUACUGAGCGUAAAGCGCACGUAGGCGGCUUUGUAAGUUAGAGGUGAAAGCCUGGAGCUCAACUCCAGAACUGCCUUUAAGACUGCAUCGCUUGAAUCCAGGAGAGGUGAGUGGAAUUCCGAGUGUAGAGGUGAAAUUCGUAGAUAUUCGGAAGAACACCAGUGGCGAAGGCGGCUCACUGGACUGGUAUUGACGCUGAGGAGCGAAAGCGUGGGGAGCGAACAGGAUUAGAUACCCGAGUAGUCCCUGUCUCUUAUAC